rnacentral:rRNA from 1 species
AGAACGAACGCUGGCGGCAGGCUUAACACAUGCAAGUCGAGCGCCGUAGCAAUACGGAGCGGCAGACGGGUGAGUAACGCGUGGGAACAUACCCUCCGGUUCGGAAUAACUCAGGGAAACUUGAGCUAAUACCGGAUACGGCAUCGGAGAGAGAUCUCGGCGGCGAAAGAUUUAUCGCCGGAGGAUUGGCCCGCGUCCGAUUAGCUAGUUGGUGUGGUAAUGGCGCACCAAGGCGACGAUCGGUAGC